GACGAACGCUGGCGGCGUGCCUAAUACAUGCAAGUAGAACGCUGAAGGAGGAGCUUGCUUCUCUGGAUGAGUUGCGAACGGGUGAGUAACGCGUAGGUAACCUGCCUGGUAGCGGGGGAUAACUAUUGGAAACGAUAGCUAAUACCGCAUAAUAGUAGAUGUUGCAUGACAUUUGCUUAAAUGUUGCAAUUGCAUCACUACCAGAUGGACCUGCGUUGUAUUAGCUAGUUGGUGAGGUAACGGCUCACCAAGGCGACGAUACAUAGCCGACCUGAGAGGGGGAUCGGCCACACUGGGACUGAGACACGGCCCAGACUCCUACGGGAGGCAGCAGUAGGGAAUCUUCGGCAAUGGACGGAAGUCUGACCGAGCAACGCCGCGGGAGUGAAGAAGGUUGUCGGAUCGUAAAGCUCUGUUGUAAGAGAAGAACGAGUGUGAGAGUGGAAAGUUCACACUGUGACGGUAGCUGACCAGAAAGGGACGGCUAACUACGUG
rnacentral:rRNA from 1 species